rnacentral:rRNA from 1 species
CCUACGGGGAGCAGCAGUGGGGAAUAUUGCACAAUGGGGGAAACCCUGAUGCAGCGACGCCGCGUGAGUGAAGAAGCGUUUCGGCGCGUAAACUUCUGUCGCGAGGGAUGAAGAAUGACGGUACCUCGUAAGAAAGCCCCGGCAAACUACGUGCCAGCAGCCGCGGUAAUACGUAGGGGGCGAGCGUUGUCCGGAAUGACUGGGCGUAAAGGGAGUGUAGGCGGCAUAUUAAGUUAUGUGUGAAAGCCCGCGGCUCAACCGCGGAAUUGCACAUAAAACUGGUAAGCUGGAGUGCAGGAGAGGUAAGUGGAAUUCCCGGUGUAGCGGUGGAAUGCGUAGAUAUCGGGAGGAACACCAGAGGCGAAGGCGACUUACUGGACUGUAACUGACGCUGAGGCUCGAAAGCGUGGGGAGCAAACAGGAUUAGAUACCCUUGUAGUC